rnacentral:rRNA from 1 species
UACGUAGGGUGCAAGCGUUGUCCGGAAUUAUUGGGCGUAAAGAGCUCGUAGGCGGUCUGUCGCGUCUGCUGUGAAAACUCGGGGCUUAACCCCGGGCCUGCAGUGGAUACGGGCAGACUAGAGGUAGGUAGGGGAGAAUGGAAUUCCCGGUGUAGCGGUGAAAUGCGCAGAUAUCGGGAGGAACACCGGUGGCGAAGGCGGUUCUCUGGGCCUUACCUGACGCUGAGGAGCGAAAGCGUGGGGAGCGAACAGG